rnacentral:misc_RNA from 1 species
CAGAGUUCUCGCCCUUACGGGUAGAUCUCCCACCCACUGCUAUCACUACUAUCGUUGCUUUGGCGGGUCGCCGGGCUGUGCCCGGCCACUGGCCCCGGCCAGUGUGUGCCUGCCAGAGGCCUAGUAAACUCUGAAAUGUUAGUGUCGUCCGAGUAACUACACAAUAGUUA